rnacentral:rRNA from 1 species
CGUUGAUUACGUCCCUGCCCUUUGUACACACCGCCCGUCGCUACUACCGAUUGAAUGGCUUAGUGAAACCCUCGGAUUGUAGAUUGUAUUGUUGGCAACAACAUACAAUUCUCGAGAAGUUGGUCAAACUUGGUCAUUUAAAGGAAGUAAAAGUCGUAACAAG